UGUUGGCCACAGCUCUAGGUGCACAAGCUACAGCCAGAGCCGCAGCACACGGAGCCACCUGCCCGUGGAGGAGCCUGUGUCACAACGAACAUACGCAGAUGCACUUCCACAACGUAGAUGCUCUGAUUAUUACUAAAGUGGAGGAGAGACCGGCGAUGACCCAAGUCUUUGAAAACCUGCCUAAUGCCCUGGCUGUCUGGAAUUCUGCCCAGCUUGCUUCAGGGAGAAGAGCACCCUACCCCACACCACCAUAGCUGGGUCCCUUCUCCUGAAAUAAAUUUUAUUUCAAGCCACCUACCACC
rnacentral:lncRNA from 1 species